GGCAACUGUCCGACAGUGUGACACUGUGACAGUCUGGCCGCAGAAUAGCGUCUACUCUCUGUACUCUAUGUACAUUGAGGGAAUGCGAACACACAGAGAGAAACGUGCGCAUGCAGUGAGCUUGUUAAUACACGUACCGUUAAAACGCAGCAUUUCCCUACAACUCUCUCCUCGCUCCUCGAAUCGGGAGUCAACAACAUGUAUGUAAAUAUGUACUGUUGUAAGUAUAUACGAUAUGUGCGUACUUAUUCCGGUUGAUAAACAAGUUUACGGGUCUGGCGCAGCUUAAGGCAUGUCCAGCAAUAAGGAAUCGCCUAGACAAAUGCCUGCGAUGAGACAACUCGAUUGGGAUACGGAGUUAUUUAAAAAUAUAGCUGAAUGAUUGACAAAAGGAGGAACCUCACACUUUGCCUUAAUCAUCUGAUGCCGCCUCUUGACUGGCCAACGCACCCAACAAUAAAGAAAUAAUCAUUUGUUAUCAAAUAAAAAUACUUAAGUACGCAAUGAAAUGUUAAUGAAUGCUUCGCAUUUUGCAUCAAUUAUUUGUAAACGUUAAUGAAAUUGAACAAAAGCAGAGUAUAAAUAAUUUACUUUAAAAAACGAUUUCGAAUUUUAAGAGAACAAGUUUUGUAAUAAAUAUUUUAUUAAUAAUAUUUUCAUUGAAAUUACUUUAUAACUUUCCGAAUAAAAACAAAAUGUACCUGUCUACAAUAUAUUAUUAUGUGAUAAUAAGUAUAUUAAAAUAAAAUAUAAAACAAAACAAACAGAGCGAAGUGUUCAAGCGUUAGAUUUGCUUACACACUGAAAAAAAUCGAGUUAAGAAAGAUAUAAUUCAUAAAGCUAAAUUUUAAAUUAAUAUUAAUGCAGACAUGCGAAUUGUAAAUUAAAAGAAUUAAAAGAAUAGCAUAUAGAAAAGUAUUAACUGUGGAUAAUUGUUUAAUUACCUAAUGUACGUACCACAAUCUUAAAAUGAACUAGUAACUACUCGAAAAUGAUGCUGAACAUUUCGAGUUUUAAUGUUAUUACAUGUUUCACAAGUUAAUCAAAAACAUUUUAUAAUGGUAGUUUUAAGAAAUGAUUCUAGUCAAU